UACGGAGGGUGCAAGCGUUAUCCGGAUUCACUGGGCUUAAAGGGUGCGUAGGUGGGCUGGUAAGUCCGUGGUGAAAUCUCCAAGCUUAACUUGGAAACUGCCGUGGAUACUAUUAGUCUUGAAUCUCGUGGAGGUAAGCGGAAUAUGUCAUGUAGCGGUGAAAUGCUUAGAUAUGACAUAGAACACCGAUAGCGAAGGCAGCUUGCUACACGAGUAUUGACACUGAGGCACGAAAGCGUGGGGAUCAAACAGG
rnacentral:rRNA from 1 species